UACAGGGGGGGCAAGCGUUGUUCGGAAUUACUGGGCGUAAAGGGCUCGUAGGUGGCCAACUAAGUCAGACGUGAAAUCCCUCAGCUUAACUGGGGAACUGCGUCUGAUACUGGAUGGCUUGAGUUUGGGAGAGGGAUGCGGAAUUCCAGGUGUAGCGGUGAAAUGCGCAGAUAUCAGGAAGAACACCCGUGGCGAAGGCGGCUCUCUGGGACGGUACUGACGCUGAGACGCGAAAGCGUGGGGAGCGAACAGG
rnacentral:rRNA from 1 species